UUAAGCGACUAAGCGUACACGGUGGAUGCCCUGGCAGUCAGAGGCGAUGAAGGACGUGCUAAUCUGCGAUAAGCGUCGGUAAGGUGAUAUGAACCGUUAUAACCGGCGAUUUCCGAAUGGGGAAACCCAGUGUGAUUCGUCACACUAUCAUUAACUGAAUCCAUAGGUUAAUGAGGCGAACCGGGGGAACUGAAACAUCUAAGUACCCCGAGGAAAAGAAAUCAACCGAGAUUCCCCCAGUAGCGGCGAGCGAACGGGGAGCAGCCCAGAGCCUGAAUCAGUGUGUGUGUUAGUGGAAGCGUCUGGAAAGGCGCGCGAUACAGGGUGACAGCCCCGUACACAAAAAUGCACAUGCUGUGAGCUCGAUGAGUAGGGCGGGACACGUGGUAUCCUGUCUGAAUAUGGGGGGACCAUCCUCCAAGGCUAAAUACUCCUGACUGACCGAUAGUGAACCAGUACCGUGAGGGAAAGGCGAAAAGAACCCCGGCGAGGGGAGUGAAAAAGAACCUGAAACCGUGUACGUACAAGCAGUGGGAGCACGCUUAGGCGUGUGACUGCGUACCUUUUGUAUAAUGGGUCAGCGACUUAUAUUCUGUAGCAAGGUUAACCGAAUAGGGGAGCCGAAGGGAAACCGAGUCUUAACUGGGCGUUAAGUUGCAGGGUAUAGACCCGAAACCCGGUGAUCUAGCCAUGGGCAGGUUGAAGGUUGGGUAACACUAACUGGAGGACCGAACCGACUAAUGUUGAAAAAUUAGCGGAUGACUUGUGGCUGGGGGUGAAAGGCCAAUCAAACCGGGAGAUAGCUGGUUCUCCCCGAAAGCUAUUUAGGUAGCGCCUCGUGAAUUCAUCUCCGGGGGUAGAGCACUGUUUCGGCAAGGGGGUCAUCCCGACUUACCAACCCGAUGCAAACUGCGAAUACCGGAGAAUGUUAUCACGGGAGACACACGGCGGGUGCUAACGUCCGUCGUGAAGAGGGAAACAACCCAGACCGCCAGCUAAGGUCCCAAAGUCAUGGUUAAGUGGGAAACGAUGUGGGAAGGCCCAGACAGCCAGGAUGUUGGCUUAGAAGCAGCCAUCAUUUAAAGAAAGCGUAAUAGCUCACUGGUCGAGUCGGCCUGCGCGGAAGAUGUAACGGGGCUAAACCAUGCACCGAAGCUGCGGCAGCGACGCUGAUGCGUUGUUGGGUAGGGGAGCGUUCUGUAAGCCUGCGAAGGUGUGCUGUGAGGCAUGCUGGAGGUAUCAGAAGUGCGAAUGCUGACAUAAGUAACGAUAAAGCGGGUGAAAAGCCCGCUCGCCGGAAGACCAAGGGUUCCUGUCCAACGUUAAUCGGGGCAGGGUGAGUCGACCCCUAAGGCGAGGCCGAAAGGCGUAGUCGAUGGGAAACAGGUUAAUAUUCCUGUACUUGGUGUUACUGCGAAGGGGGGACGGAGAAGGCUAUGUUGGCCGGGCGACGGUUGUCCCGGUUUAAGCGUGUAGGCUGGUUUUCCAGGCAAAUCCGGAAAAUCAAGGCUGAGGCGUGAUGACGAGGCACUACGGUGCUGAAGCAACAAAUGCCCUGCUUCCAGGAAAAGCCUCUAAGCAUCAGGUAACAUCAAAUCGUACCCCAAACCGACACAGGUGGUCAGGUAGAGAAUACCAAGGCGCUUGAGAGAACUCGGGUGAAGGAACUAGGCAAAAUGGUGCCGUAACUUCGGGAGAAGGCACGCUGAUAUGUAGGUGAAGCGACUUGCUCGUGGAGCUGAAAUCAGUCGAAGAUACCAGCUGGCUGCAACUGUUUAUUAAAAACACAGCACUGUGCAAACACGAAAGUGGACGUAUACGGUGUGACGCCUGCCCGGUGCCGGAAGGUUAAUUGAUGGGGUUAGCGCAAGCGAAGCUCUUGAUCGAAGCCCCGGUAAACGGCGGCCGUAACUAUAACGGUCCUAAGGUAGCGAAAUUCCUUGUCGGGUAAGUUCCGACCUGCACGAAUGGCGUAAUGAUGGCCAGGCUGUCUCCACCCGAGACUCAGUGAAAUUGAACUCGCUGUGAAGAUGCAGUGUACCCGCGGCAAGACGGAAAGACCCCGUGAACCUUUACUAUAGCUUGACACUGAACAUUGAGCCUUGAUGUGUAGGAUAGGUGGGAGGCUUUGAAGUGUGGACGCCAGUCUGCAUGGAGCCGACCUUGAAAUACCACCCUUUAAUGUUUGAUGUUCUAACGUUGACCCGUGAUCCGGGUUGCGGACAGUGUCUGGUGGGUAGUUUGACUGGGGCGGUCUCCUCCUAAAGAGUAACGGAGGAGCACGAAGGUUGGCUAAUCCUGGUCGGACAUCAGGAGGUUAGUGCAAUGGCAUAAGCCAGCUUGACUGCGAGCGUGACGGCGCGAGCAGGUGCGAAAGCAGGUCAUAGUGAUCCGGUGGUUCUGAAUGGAAGGGCCAUCGCUCAACGGAUAAAAGGUACUCCGGGGAUAACAGGCUGAUACCGCCCAAGAGUUCAUAUCGACGGCGGUGUUUGGCACCUCGAUGUCGGCUCAUCACAUCCUGGGGCUGAAGUAGGUCCCAAGGGUAUGGCUGUUCGCCAUUUAAAGUGGUACGCGAGCUGGGUUUAGAACGUCGUGAGACAGUUCGGUCCCUAUCUGCCGUGGGCGCUGGAGAACUGAGGGGGGCUGCUCCUAGUACGAGAGGACCGGAGUGGACGCAUCACUGGUGUUCGGGUUGUCAUGCCAAUGGCACUGCCCGGUAGCUAAAUGCGGAAGAGAUAAGUGCUGAAAGCAUCUAAGCACGAAACUUGCCCCGAGAUGAGUUCUCCCUGACUCCUUGAGAGUCCUGAAGGAACGUUGAAGACGACGACGUUGAUAGGCCGGGUGUGUAAGCGCAGCGAUGCGUUGAGCUAACCGGUACUAAUGAACCGUGAGGCUUAACCU
rnacentral:rRNA from 1 species